rnacentral:rRNA from 1 species
CCUACGGGAGGCAGCAGUGGGGAAUAUUGCACAAUGGGCGAAAGCCUGAUGCAGCAACGUCGCGUGAAGGAAGACGGCUCUCGGAUUGUAAACUUCUGUUCUUAGUGAAGUAUAAUGACGGUAACUAAGGAGCAAGCCACGGCGAACUACGUGCCAGCAGCCGCGGUAAUACGGAGGUGGCAAGCGUUGUCCGGAAUUACUGGGUGUAAAGGGAGCGUAGGCGGGAAGCUAAGUCAGUUGUGAAAACUACGGGCUUAACCUGUAGAUUGCAGUUGAAACUGGCAUUCUUGAGUGAAGGAGAGGUUGGCGGAAGUCGGGGUGUAGCGGUGAAAUGCGUAGAUAUUCGGAAGAACACCGAUUGCGAAGGCAGCCAACUGGGCUUUAACUGACGCUGAGGCUCGAAAGUGUGGGGAGCAAACAGGAUUAGAUACCCGAGUAGUC